UGCAAGUCGAACGAAACUUUCUUACACCGAAUGCUUGCAUUCACCGUAAGAAGUUGAGUGGCGGACGGGUGAGUAACACGUGGGUAACCUGCCUAAAAGAAGGGGAUAACACUUGGAAACAGGUGCUAAUACCGUAUAUAUCUAAGGAUCGCAUGAUCCUUAGAUGAAAGAUGGUUCUGCUAUCGCUUUUAGAUGGACCCGCGGCGUAUUAACUAGUUGGUGGGGUAACGGCCUACCAAGGUGAUGAUACGUAGCCGAACUGAGAGGUUGAUCGGCCACAUUGGGACUGAGACACGGCCCAAACUCCUACGGGAGGCAGCAGUAGGGAAUCUUCCACAAUGGACGCAAGUCUGAUGGAGCAACGCCGCGUGAGUGAAGAAGGUCUUCGGAUCGUAAAACUCUGUUGUUAGAGAAGAACACGAGUGAGAGUAACUGUUCAUUCGAUGACGGUAUCUAACCAGCAAGUCACGGCUAACUACGUGCCAGCAGCCGCGGUAAUACGUAGGUGGCAAGCGUUGUCCGGAUUUAUUGGGCGUAAAGGGAACGCAGGCGGUCUUUUAAGUCUGAUGUGAAAGCCUUCGGCUUAACCGGAGUAGUGCAUUGGAAACUGGAAGACUUGAGUGCAGAAGAGGAGAGUGGAACUCCAUGUGUAGCGGUGAAAUGCGUAGAUAUAUGGAAGAACACCAGUGGCGAAAGCGGCUCUCUGGUCUGUAACUGACGCUGAGGUUCGAAAGCGUGGGUAGCAAACAGGAUUAGAUACCCUGGUAGUCCACGCCGUAAACGAUGAAUGCUAGGUGUUGGAGGGUUUCCGCCCUUCAGUGCCGCAGCUAACGCAAUAAGCAUUCCGCCUGGGGAGUACGACCGCAAGGUUGAAACUCAAAGGAAUUGACGGGGGCCCGCACAAGCGGUGGAGCAUGUGGUUUAAUUCGAAGCAACGCGAAGAACCUUACCAGGUCUUGACAUCCUUUGACCACCUAAGAGAUUAGGCUUUCCCUUCGGGGACAAAGUGACAGGUGGUGCAUGGCUGUCGUCAGCUCGUGUCGUGAGAUGUUGGGUUAAGUCCCGCAACGAGCGCAACCCUUGUUGUCAGUUGCCAGCAUUAAGUUGGGCACUCUGGCGAGACUGCCGGUGACAAAUCGGAGGAAGGUGGGGACGACGUCAAGUCAUCAUGCCCCUUAUGACCUGGGCUACACACGUGCUACAAUGGACGGUACAACGAGUCGCGAGACCGCGAGGUUUAGCUAAUCUCUUAAAGCCGUUCUCAGUUCGGAUUGUAGGCUGCAACUCGCCUACAUGAAGUCGGAAUCGCUAGUAAUCGCGAAUCAGCAUGUCGCGGUGAAUACGUUCCCGGGCCUUGUACACACCGCCCGUCACACCAUGAGAGUUUGUAACACCCAAAGCCGGUGGGGUAACCGCAAGGAGCCAGCCGUCUAAG
rnacentral:rRNA from 1 species